GGAAUGGCAAACGCCGAAGAACUCUCAGGACGGCUGCUUGGAGGGAAAAGAGCAGCCCCUCUAACCAAGCGCUUUUUUGCUCCGGUACAAAUCACUGCUCGGCCCGGCAGGCCCAGAGGGGAGAGCACUUUUCUUCACCUCAUCGUCAGGCUUUGGAAUCCUGUUCUACUUUUCCAGAUGGCUUCAGCAGCAGACUUCGCUGGUCCUGCUUCCGUUGACCCGCCCAGUUAUCCCAUCCGUCCAACCCAAGCAACCCAGUCACCACUGGCUUUAACUGUGCGGGACUGGGAACCUAAUCCCAGUGACUCGCUGGAGACCAAUUUGUGAAGUGGUUGAUGGAAAUCCCUACCCCCCUAUCUCUGGCAGAGCUUCGCCUGCACCCAGCGAAUGGACUAAUUGAUUUACGGUUAACCGAGUGGAAGGAUCAAAACGUCCCGUCUCUGUUCUUUGAUGGCUGGAUGAACCUCGGGCAAAUUUAAUCACAGGAGACUUUAUUGAAGUCUGAACACAGCGUGAACUCAGAGUCCGAGAAGUUUCCAAGAGAAGUCAUCGUCCACGCCGACCAAAGGUUCCUAACUCACUGUAGCUAACUCUGUUCAGUUGGUAUAUUGGAGGAUUGUGGGAAAUAAACACGGUCUAUGAAUUUUAUAGAGCCGGAUUGCCAGAGACAUAGAUUGUGCAGACAUUAUAGAGCUCUAAACUGAAAAACUCAGAGUCAAGAAAACACAGUCGACCCUGUUAACUGGAUGCUAAAUCGCACAUAAACUAUAAAAUAUAAAUGAAACCAUUACAAUUAAAAAUGGUGGCUUCGGGGGCUAUGAUCUGAGUCGUCGCUAACUUUUUCUACUUUGCUUCGUUGAUAACAUUAACACGCAGACGUCUGUUCAAAUGCUAGAGUCAAAAAAGAUGUUUAUGAGACCUGGAAUAAUAAGAAAGUCGUCGGCUGGAAGCGCUAAAAUGUCAAGUCGUUCAUGUGGAACUUGUCUGGGAAAGAACGGUUUAUCAAAUUGGAGCCGGAUGCAGUCCUUCACUGCUAACUUUCUCUUUUGGUUCUGGUGGAAAUACUUACAAUCUGAGCGACACACCACAUAAGACAACCAGUGUGUCGCAGGUGCGUAAUUGAGCCGUUCUCCCAUUCUGCUGUGGGACAUUUGAGACUAUUUAUUGAGGCUAGUGGGGCUCUUGGAGUCCUCUCAGUUUCCACCAGCUGAAAAAGACUUUCCAGCUUAGAUAGGAGCCGGCUGAAAGGCAGAGCCAAGUAAGAGCCAGGUUUUGGACUCCAGGCCAAAAUUUUCCCCAGCUGCUUCCACCAAAGCAAUAUGCAGACCCAGGUGUUCGGGCGAGAUUUGAAAUCCAAGCCCCCACAGUUUAACUGUUCCACAACCCCCAAUCCCGUAUCUUCUCUCUCUUUAUCCCUCCUCGGUGCUCUUAAGGCCAUAUCUUUUGUCUUUUUUUUGUUUUUUUCUUCUAGCUGGCACGGACAAAGCUGUUAUUAUUAGAGUGCACUGGGUUACUCUAAAAUUAAAAGAGGACGUUUCAAACAACUUUUUCCGUACUGAACCUCACGUUCCGUACAGGAUAUCGUAAAUCCUAUACCCUCCCAGCGUGAAAAUAAAAAAGAGCAACACUGAAGAAAUAGACAUGAGCUUUCCCCAAUGUGCGUAUCAGUUGGAUUAAGAAUUACUUGCUGCAUUAAAUCUGCUCCAGCCAUGUUGGCAGGCGGACGUGGACAUCACUCUCACUCUCUUGUCUGUUUCCUCUUUAAACGCCUUUUACGUCAUCUCCAUAAUGUCAAGUCUGCGGUCUGUUUCUACUGAUUUAAAGGCCCCGGGAUGUCUUUUCUAUAAGCUAACAUCCCAUCCUUUAAGUUGGGAAAACAGCAAAAUAAAGUUAGUGAAACAGCCCACGCCCGCAAGCUCGCCCUCCUGGAGUGGAACCAUCAACACCUUCUGCAAAUGAUGAAGAAAUCCACCAUUUUUAGUCUUAAAACUUCACAACAAGCACGUGAAGGUGAUUUGUUUUUAUAACUCCUACAUACUGAUGACAUUAAAGCUGAAAAAUGUGCUUAAUAAGGUAAAGGAGGGCGUCUUAAAGGACUGACAGGUGGGCAUGUAGUAGCUGUUCACCUCUUCGCAGGUUUAGAAGUGAGUUAAGGACAGCUUCGACAGCAUGAGCGCCAUCAUUACCGGGCUGACACCUCUUUAACGCCUCUACAGAAACCAUUGUGUGAUAUUUCUGUUAUAAAUAGUGAGUGUAAAUGACACAGGAGCCUUUGUGCAACAACUCUCAUCAGCUCUAAUGUCAUUUAGGGUUAGCUUUAAAAUAUCUUUAAGUGUUAAACCAUCCAAAUAUCAGGGUUAGAAGAGAAAAAAAAGUGCUUAGAUAGGGUACGAACUUGACCCACAUUUAUGGGAUGGGAAAGACUGUAACCUUAAAAGGUAAAUUAACGUAAAUUAUUUAGGGUGACCAUAUUCUGAAUCUCCAAAAAGAGGACACGACUAAGCAGGGACUUUGAGAGUUUUUCGGGUCGGGUCAAGUGUUUUUAACGAGCUUCUAACUCAGUUAGUCCAUGCAACACAAACUCAAAACUUCCAUACAAAACCCCGCACAUUUAAAAGCAUUUUAUAAACAAAGACAAGGACGGACAGCCCCCCAAAAAGAGGACAUGUCUGGAUAAAAGAAGACGUAUGGUCUCCCUAAAUUAUUAUGUUAUCUUAAUCUUAUCAAAUCCAUGAAAAGGAAGUGAAGAAAUCCCAGAAAUAGAGGGGUGGACAUGGGUGCUAGAAAGAAGCAGGUCCACGAUCCAGAGGAACCUGAUGGAGCUCAGGGACUCCCAGAAAAAAAUAUUUAUUAUUGACUCUAAUAGGACAUGAUAGGACAGAAAAAGGAUGGAGGAGGGAAAGGUGCUCAGUGUAAGCAGUCUAAAUCUACAGAAGCCGAACUAAUAGGGCGCUCACACCAAGCGCGAGUAAAAUCAUCCACUCGCUUAAUUUGCGCAAAUCUAGACACGUGAAUGAAAAGUAUUUACUCGCUUCAUUCGCGUGUCAACGGUAAUCCCUGCCAAUACAACCUGCGGGAUCAAGUGAUAGACAAAUGUUUUUUUCAAUUUACCGGGUAAUCCGACCUCCUCACUCAAUCGCCUCCAGGCGAGCUCCUUUUUAUUCCAGUUUCAGUAACUGAAAGAAAAGGUAUCAUAUAAUUCCUGGCACCCACACACUGACACAAUCAGUUUUUCCUCCAUUUUAGAUACCAGUGAACAACCGUCCAUCACCCGGCAACCUUUGUGCUGAUUAGUUAUAGCAUCAUGAAUAUCUGCUCAAGUUGAGACAUUUUCAGCUUCUGCCUAAUUCACGUCAUUCGCACCGCUAGAGUAGUAGGAGCGUCUAAUCGCGUCUUUGCAUUGACUUAACAUGUAAUUCAUUCGCGCGAAUGAUUUUACUUGUGCUUGGUGUGUGGAGACAGUAAGAGCUAGUCCAGACCUGAACCAGAUCAACUAUAAGUUUUAUCAAGAUUACUCUUAUAGGUAGAGAGGGUGUUCGACUUCCUGCACUUUGACUGGUAGAUGAUUCCAGAGGAGAUGGACCUAGCUAGACCACUUUUAGGGACUCAAGGUUCGAUGAGCAGGCCUGCACAUUUGGACCACAGUGGUAAUAGGGAACUGCAAAGUCUUUCAGAUAUGAUAGGUUAGAAAAAGAAAUGAAAUAGAUUUGUCUGCUGAAAUCACUGCUAAAAACUCUAAUUUUAGAAAUCCCCUUGAAUGAAAAUGUAAAGUUUAAACAGUUGUAAUCAGUUGACAUAAUAAUGCCACUAAUAAAUGUGUUUGUUUUGACAUCUCUGUGGUAAAACAGUGUCCUGCUGAUAGUUCACACUGCGCCCCUCCCAGCUGAUUACUGCAAAAGGAGUCGAUUAAUUAUUCAUGUGGACAAAUUGAGUAAUUCCUCUGCAUAUAUAAUACAUUCCAUCAGGAAUUAGCUGCACGUCAUGUGUUGGGCGAGGGAGGCGGUAAAACGUAUGUGUGUGUGUGUAUGUGCGUGCAUGUGUAUUAAGGGGGGAUUUAGGUUAAUGAGAAAAGUUCACAGAAAGUCCACCCUCCCUGAUUCCAUCUUCAGCUCCCAACACAAAGGCAGGCAGAGUCCACAUGCAGUUGCAGGGAAGAAAGACGAGGUGACAGGUUCAAAAGUUCAGCCACUGCUUUAGACUCACUUCGCAUGCCACUACCAUUCGGCACACCCUGGUCCUUUGGAGAUGUCAGGGGGAACCUCAUUUACUGUUCUGUACCCAGCGCUGGGUGGCAAGACUCUCCACAGGGGAAUACCAAAGUGGGAAGAAGAGGAGGAGGGGGGAAGUGCUGUGAAAAAGAGCCCCUGUCCCUGCCACGUCCUCCUUGAUGAAUUUGUAAAACAGAUCCAUGAUGUCUCACUGGAGACAAGUUGUGCCAUGGCCCCCUUUUCAGAUGCGCUAAUCUCUGAAUGGUUGUUACCAUCACAUGAGAUACCGUGAAAUCAAUUCCUUCACCUGCGACCUCUGAAUGCUAUGGGAUGUUUAAGUGUCACACAGUAAAUAAAAUACAGUAUAAAACUCCCAGAACAGCACUCUUCCUCUCUUUCUCCUUGUAUAUUCCUAAUUUUAAGACUUGGGAAUAGACCGGUCUUUAUCUACGGUGACAAAUGUUGAUAUAAUCUUAAAUUUAUUGAUGUCUCGACCUCUUUAUUUAAUUUAACUUUCACUACAACUUUGAAGACGUCUUUUAUCACCUCGAACCAUAUCACCAUACAGGGUUAUGCUCCUAGAUCUCCUGAGAGAGAUCCUCUCCCAGUAGAGAUCCCAAUCAGAUAUUACGCAACUGCUUUUACUGGCUCUGGAGUCGAGAUCCUGAUAGUGAGCUCUGGAGAGCCGUUUCAUAAUCUGACGGAUGACGUACCUGCUCGCUCUACAUGGUGGUUUAUGUAUCACUGCCAUAAUACACAAAUGAGACCCAGUAGAUCACAAUGGACGCAAACCUGCAUGGAAGUAAAGUCUAGAACCAGAUUUAAAAUUUCUGCUGUUAAAAAAAAGAAGAGUUAAUAUGAAAGUGCAGAAAACUGUAGUUCCUUGAUUGUCCACUGGAGGCAGAAUCCCUACAUUGGUCCUAUUUAAAAAUAAAGCGGGGAAACAUUUUUGCCUCUUUUAGACAAAAAUACCUCAAGAUUACUAAAGUCAGACUGUUGACUAUUAGUCUACUACUAGUAUUGGGUCUGGGGCUCAUUUAUUUACUUGCACACUGUAAACUACGACAAGAAACUUUGCCCAAAAAACACUCAAACCUAAAGACACUGGGAAAAUCAAUAGGAGAUCAGGUAUAGAUAUGACAUACAUUCACAUACAGACAAUGAACCAACGAAGAAAGAAGGGAGGACAGAGAUUAUUUAGACACACUCGUAAAUGAGCAACAGGUGUGACUGACGAGACACAGGUGAGACUCGUUAGUGAUUGACAGAGGAGGGAAAACAGAGCAAGUAGAAACCAGACUGAUAAACACAAGGAUUGACUACUACAAAAUAAAACAGGAAACACUGAAAACUGAACUAAGAAACCAAACUGUGAAAAACAUGAAUAACAGGAACAGAAUAACCCAUCUGUGGAGACUAAAAUAAAGGUUAAAAGUUAAAAAUCUGCCUCUUUUGCUCUUUUCAACUCCUCAGGUCGAGCCAGCGUUUCUAAGACAACCGUGCCUGCUAUCAUUUGGCUUAAAACAGCCCUCCAGAAACCGAUGGGUGAAGCAACAGAG